GUUAUCAUAUCAUUCAUGCUUAUACCGGAGUUAUAUUUCAUGCUAUUUAUCAUCUUUCAUGUCAUUCAUAUCAUGCUAUACAUGCAAUUCAUAAGACAUAAUGUAACGCUUUCAUGCUUCCAACAUAACAAUUUAUAACGUGCAAAUCAUACAGUAGGUAUCAUAGCAGUCACAUAAUGUAGUCCGAGCAUAACAUAACACAUCAAUAUAUAACGCAUAUCAAUUCAUCCAAAGACAACAUAACAUUGACAUUGCAUAACAUCUACGUAUUAAAUUCUAACGUCUAUAUAUACAAUUUAUGACAUGUGAGAAACUACGGGCAUGUGCCAACAUGCAACAUACACUCAUAACUUACUAUGGAAUGGUCACUUACUUGGUAGGCCUUAGUCGGCAUUCUGCCUAAUAUUUUAAUGUCGAAAACAGGUCCAAGAGGAUUGAAACGGUGGAAUUGGGCCCAAAAAUAGAUCCCCGAGCUUAGAAGCGGCACCGGAGCCGCAGUUGAGUCGUUCAAGUCGCCGGAGUCUAGAGGUUUUUGUGUCAGAUGGUGACACGCGGCGCAACUGGGAGCUAUCACGUGUGCAGUCUGAAUUGGGUUUGAGGCGAGGGUCGCGGGCGGGUCGUUGGUUCGAUCACGGGUUCAGUGCAGGCGACUUGGGCUGGAGUGGAUCUGGGCUGGGUGGAGGCGUCUGUGGACUGCGGAAAAUUGGGUUGCAGGAAAUCAAGCUGGGCCGAGGCUUUUGGGUUGGCUGAACGUUGGAAUAGGGCCGCGGGUAUUGAGCUGCAGAAACCGGACUGGGCCGAGGAUUUGUUGGCGGUAUGGGUUGGCGUCAGAUGGGUUGAAGGGUUUUGGGUUACGGAUCCGGGUUGACACGAAGUCGACCAACUUUGUCUUCUCUACCUCUUUCUCUCGAAAAUAUUUGGUGAUUUUCUCUCUCCUCUAUAACGCCGGUGGCCUUUUUCUCUCGAAAAUCCAAAAACGUCUCUUCUUCCUCUGAUGGUUUACUACGUGCAUGGGGCGUCGAAACUCGUCCCCGGUGUGUGUACAGGCCUCUAUGAUUCCUUUCGUGACAAAGUUCGAAUGUAUUCCACGUAGGUUUCUUGGUUUCGAGCUUUGUCGGUGUUUUAUGUUAGAUAAAAGUUAUGUUUUUUCUAUUUAGAUUAUUCACACGUUUCAAUUGAGUGAGUUGUUUUGUUGGUUUUUGGAUAACUGAAUUAACCCUCUAGUAAGAGCGUAUUUGUUGUUGGCUAA